rnacentral:rRNA from 1 species
AUUGAACGCUGGCGGCAGGCCUAACACAUGCAAGUCGAACGGUAACAGGAAACAGCUUGCUGUUUCGCUGACGAGUGGCGGACGGGUGAGUAAUGUCUGGGAAACUGCCUGAUGGAGGGGGAUAACUACUGGAAACGGUAGCUAAUACCGCAUAACGUCGCAAGACCAAAGAGGGGGACCUUCGGGCCUCUUGCCAUCGGAUGUGCCCAGAUGGGAUUAGCUAGUAGGUGGGGUAACGGCUCGCCUAGGCGACGAUCCCUAGCUGGUCUGAGAGGAUGACCAGCCACACUGGAACUGAGACACGGUCCAGACUCCUACGGGAGGCAGCAGUGGGGAAUAUUGCACAAUGGGCGCAAGCCUGAUGCAGCCAUGCCGCGUGUAUGAAGAAGGCCUUCGGGUUGUAAAGUACUUUCAGCGGGGAGGAAGGGAGUAAAGUUAAUACCUUUGCUCAUUGACGUUACCCGCAGAAGAAGCACCGGCUAACUCCGUG